UCAUUUGCCUAGAGUCCCUUCUGUGGCUGAUUAAAACAACACGGCACAGCAGGAAAAACAGGAAGCUGGUUUCCAGAAACGCCAGAACAACAGCCCCUCUGUUCCCAGCUCCUGGCAGGAGGCAGCCGCAGCCUGUGAAGGGGCCCUUGCCUGGAAGCAGCCAGCCUCCGGGCUGUUCAGGGCAGGCCACAGGCAGUCCUGAGUCAGGAAGGUUGCCUGUUUCUCUAAAGCAGCCACCUAGUUCCCCUGCUCAGCCCCAGGCUACAGAAGGCAAGAAGCAACAAGGCCACUGGGUAGGUGUCCAUUUAUGGCCUCAGUCCCACACCUGGAAGCUGGGUCUGCGUUUUCUCAUCUCGCAUGCAGAGAACAGAGAGUUCAAGGGAUGUGUACCUAGGACUUCACGGGGGCAGGGUCCUGGACCUGGCUUGUCUGCUUUCAAAGUCCCUGGUUUGGUGUGGUUUUCACUAUGGAAUGCUGUGAGAUUUCUUGAAAUUGGCCAAAAAGGGUAUCUUGAUUUUUAUUUGGCUAACAAAAUAAACAGAGA
rnacentral:lncRNA from 1 species